rnacentral:rRNA from 1 species
GGGGGGACCACCCUCCAACCCUAAAUACUACCCAGUGACCGAUAGCGUAUAGUACUGUGAAGGAAAGGUGAAAAGCACCCCGGGAGGGGAGUGAAAAAGAACCUGAAACCCUGUGCCUACAAGCACCUAGAGCACGUCAAUGUGUGAUAGGGUACUUUUUGUAGAACGGUCCGGCGAGCGAUUGUAUGCAGCAAGGUUAAGGACUUAAGGUCUGGAGCCGAAGCGAAAGCGAGUUUGAAAAGGGCGUUAAGUUGCAUACAAUGGGCCCGAAACCGGGUGACCUACCCAUGGUCAGGUUGAAGUGGAAGUAAAAUUCCAUGGAGGACCGAACCGACCUCCGUUGAAAAGGCGGCGGAUGAACUGUGGGUAGCGGAGAAAUUCCAAUCGAACCCGGAGAUAGCUGGUUCUCCCCGAAAUAGUUUUAGGACUAGCCUCAAGUUAGAUACCUGGAGGUAAAGCACUGAAUAGCCUAGCGGCCGAGAGGUUAGCGAAGCUUAUCAAACUCAGAAUGCCAGAGUAUUGAUGCUUGGGAGUCAGACAGUGUCAGAUAAAUGUCAUUGUCAAAAGGGAAACAGCCCAGAUCUACAGCUAAGGUCCCAAAGUCAGGUUAAGUGGAAAACGAUGUGAAGAUACGUAGACAACCAGGAUGUUGGCUCAGAAGCAGCCACACAUUCAAAGAGUGCGUAAUAGCUCACUGGUCGAGCGUCUUUGCGCGGAGAAUUUAACGGGGCUAAACCUGACACCGAAGCUUAGGCAAUACAGCAAUGUAUUGGGUAGGGGAGCGUUGUAUACGCGGUGAAACAGUAGCGCAAGCGGCUGUGGAGUGUAUAGAAGUGAGAAUGCCGGAAUGAGUAGCGCGAAUGCAGUGAGAAUCUGCAUGGCCGAAAGCCUCAGGUUUCUGGAGGAAGGUUCGUCCGCUCCAGGUUAGUCGGGAGCUAAGGUGAGGCCUAACGGCGUAGCCGAUGCACAGACGGUAGAGAUUCCGUCACCACCAAAAGAGUUAAACACAGGGACACAUUUGAAGUCUCGGAGCCGGGUGUUGGUUCCGGUAGCGAUCGAGGGAAGUUAGUACCGAAGUCCGGGAUGGAAGAUGGCGAGAAAAGCUGUGUGUAUUUCUGCGGUGCCCGUACCGCAAACCGACACAGGUAGGUAGGAAGAAGAUUCUAAGGCCAACGGGAGAAGGGUUGUUAAGGAACUCGGCAAAUUGACCCCGUAACUUCGGGAGAAGGGGUGCUCCAGAGAUGGAGCCGCAGAGAAUCGGCCCAAGCAACUGUUUACCAAAAACACAGGUUUGUGCUAAAUCGAAAGAUGACGUAUACGAGCUGACGCCUGCCCGGUGCUGGAAGGUUAAGAGGAGAUGUGCAAGCAUUGAAUCGAAGCCCCAGUGAACGGCGGCCGUAACUAUAACGGUCCUAAGGUAGCGAAAUUCCUUGUCAGGUAAG